rfam:Aedes albopictus isolate Foshan contig114827, whole genome shotgun sequence.
GGCUCCGUGGCUUGCAGGAAUAAGAAGCACCCGUCUAGCGAAUUGGGAUUCGUGGGUUCGAUUCCCACCGGAGCGC